GAUGAACGCUAGCUACAGGCCUAACACAUGCAAGUCGAGGGACCGGCGCACGGGUGCGUAACACGUAUCCAACCUGCCCUUUACUCGGGGAUAGCCUUUCGAAAGAAAGAUUAAUACCCGAUAUAAUGGAUGGGGAUGCGUUCCAUUAGGUUGUUGGUGAGGUAACGGCUGACCAAGCCUUCGAAGGCUAGGGGUUCUGAGAGGAAGGUCCCCCGGAAUGGAACUGAGACACGGUCCACACUGCGAGGGGAGGCAGCAGUGUGGUAUAUUAGGCACGAAGUGCUGGCCUGAACCAGCCGCGUGGGGUGAAGGGUUAAGGCGUAUGGGUCGUAAACUUCUUUUAUAGAAGAAUAGGUAUUAUAUGAAUAAGGAUCGGCUAACUCCGUGCCAGCAGCCGCGGUAAUAC
rnacentral:rRNA from 1 species